GCAUGGAUUUGGAUUUAUGGCAGGCUCGUCCCCGUGGGCCUCUCAUAGUGUCCCAUGCUAGAGCAAACUGUGGCUCCUAACCAUUGCCCGGCCUCUGUAGGCUGCAGGCACUGAAGUGGGUCACACAGUG
ensembl:snoRNA Gm22748 small nucleolar RNA SNORA42/SNORA80 family